AAGUUCCCUCGGGAAACACCGCGGAGCCACUAUCGGAGUCUGCAAUGACUCUUUAUCGCUCUGAGGAAAGUCCCUGGACCCGUGGCAGAAAGUGCCGUAGCUUUUAGCUAUCAGCCUCCGUCGUCUUCGCGAAUUUCAGGAGAGGAAGCUUUGGCCGAUCCUUCGCAAUGGGCGUGAGAGUGUUUGUCAAAGUAAAGUAAUGUGUGUUGAAACGUUUCUGCUCUUCUGAAAAGAAACAGCAACGUUUGAACCGAACAGGGCUUAUCGUACGAGGAAACU
rfam:Trachymyrmex cornetzi contig35065, whole genome shotgun sequence.